rnacentral:rRNA from 1 species
CCUACGGGUGGCUGCAGUGAGGAAUAUUGGUCAAUGGGCGGAAGCCUGAACCAGCCAAGUCGCGUGCAGGAUGACUGCCCUACGGGUUGUAAACCUCUUUUGUACGGGAAUAACGCGCCUUACGUGUAGGGGUUGGCGUGUACCGUAUGAAUAAGGAUCGGCUAAUUCCGUGCCAGCAGCCGCGGUAAUACGGAGGGUCCGAGCGUUAUCCGGAUUUAUUGGGUUUAAAGGGGGCGUAGGCGGGUUAUCAAGUUAGCGGGAAAAUGUCGGGGCUCAACCCCGCCCUGCCGUGGCAACUGACGUGCUUGAGUGGGCGGAAAGUAGGCGGAAUUCGUGGUGUAGCGGUGAAAUGCAUAGAUAUGACGCAGAACUCCGAUUGCGAAGGCAGCAUACCGCAGCCGAACUGACGCUGAAGCUCGAAAGCGCGGGUAUCGAACAGGAUUAGAUACCCGGGUAGUC